rnacentral:rRNA from 1 species
AGAACGAACGCUGGCGGCAUGCCUAAUACAUGCAAGUCGAACGAACACUUCGGUGUUAGUGGCGCACGGGUGCGUAACGCGUGGGAAUCUGCCCUUGGGUUCGGAAUAACAGUUGGAAACGACUGCUAAUACCGGAUGAUAUCGAAAGAUCAAAGAUUUAUCGCCCAGGGAUGAGCCCGCGUAGGAUUAGCUAGUUGGUGAGGUAAAGGCUCACCAAGGCGACGAUCCUUAGCUGGUCUGAGAGGAUGAUCAGCCACACUGGGACUGAGACACGGCCCAGACUCCUACGGGAGGCAGCAGUAGGGAAUAUGGACAAUGGGCGCAAGCCUGAUCCAGCAAUGCCGCGUGAGUGAUGAAGGUCCUUAGGGUUAGUAAAGCUCUUUUACCCGAGAUGAUAAUAGACAGUUAUACGGGAAGAAGUAAGACCCCGUACUAACUCCCGUAGCCAGCAGACCGAC